GGAGAGGUAGCGAAGUGGUUAAACGCAUCUGACUGUAAAUCAGACGGCUUAUGCCUUCGAAGGUUCGAAUCCUUCCCUCUCCA
rnacentral:tRNA from 1 species